AAAGUUUCACUAUUACAUCUGCGCAUGUACCAGAGCCCUUCUAUAAGGGGAAGAGAGAGACAGACAUUGUCAAAUCUUUUCUGCUUCACUGAACUAUCCAUCUGCUCCACCCCCGGCAAACAUUACUCAGCCUGAACCCCUAAGGAGUUUUGCCCGUCUGUGAUAAAUCCUCCAACUGGAGAUUUGGUUGCAUCACAGACCCCAGCACCGAUCUACUGUUUCCCCAUCACCAUGGAGGCUUCUCUUGCCAUCUGCAUCCUCGCUGCUCUCCUGGCUACGGGGGCCGGUCUGCGGUGUGAGGUUUGCGAUGGAUCAGGAAACAGCUGCACGGGCGAUCUAGAUACCUGCCGAAAUAGGGAAGACUCUUGUGGCAUCACUCUGACAGAAGACACAGCGGGUAGG